rnacentral:rRNA from 1 species
GACGGAGGAUGCAAGUGUUAUCCGGAAUCACUGGGCGUAAAGCGUCUGUAGGUGGUUUAAUAAGUCAACUGUUAAAUCUUGAGGCUCAACCUCAAAAUCGCAGUCGAAACUAUUAGGCUAGAGUAUAGUAGGGGUAGAGGGAAUUCCCGGUGUAGCGGUGAAAUGCGUAGAUAUCGGGAAGAACACCAGUGGCGAAAGCGCUCUACUGGGCCAUAACUGACACUGAGGGACGAAAGCUAGGGGAGCGAAAGGG